rnacentral:lncRNA from 1 species
AUGUCCGGUCCAAAGCCCAUCAGCCCAUCUCCUUCACCACACUCUUCAGCUAUAAAUAUCAGCCUUCAACUAGAGGUUGAAGGACUUGGUGUUUCUUCAUAUUGAGCUAUGCAGUUAAUAGCGGCGCUAUAGCGGUGCUAUAGCGCGCUAUAGCGGUGUAGCGGAGGUCUGGCAUCAUAGCGGUCCAAAUAGCGGUUGGGCAUAGCGGUUCCGCUAAUAGCGGCGCUAUAGCCCGCUAUUUGACCGCUAUAUGUAGUCAUUUAUAGCGGCUGAAGCAGUGAUAUUAGCGGUCAGCCUUGGUUGAGGUCUUGGAAGCAGUUCAUCAUCAUCAGAGUUCAAUUGCUGUUCAUCAAAGCUGAUAAAAAUCGAAUCAAAGUUGUUCGAUUCGAUUGCUGGUCUGAUACUCGAGUUCAUCAGAGCUGUUCGAUUCGAGUUUUGUUCUCCUCUUCAGUCUUCGACAGUCACCUGUCACCAAGGUAUUAGUGUAAUAGUGUUCUCUUAGGUCUGAUACUCGAGCUCAUGAAUCUGUUGUGGUCUGAUAUCAUGAAUCUGUUACAGACUUAUGAU